GAUGAACGCUAGCUACAGGCUUAACACAUGCAAGUCGAGGGGAAACGAUAUUGGAAGCUUGCUUCUGAUAGGCGUCGACCGGCGCACGGGUGAGUAACGCGUAUCCAACCUGCCCAUCACUUGGGGAUAACCUUGUGAAAGUAAGACUAAUACCCAAUGACGUCUCUAGAAGACAUCUGAAAGAGAUUAAAGAUUUAUCGGUGAUGGAUGGGGAUGCGUCUGAUUAGCUUGUUGGCGGGGUAACGGCCCACCAAGGCGACGAUCAGUAGGGGUUCUGAGAGGAAGGCCCCCCACAUUGGAACUGAGACACGGUCCAAACUCCUACGGGAGGCAGCAGUGAGGAAUAUUGGUCAAUGGACGAGAGUCUGAACCAGCCAAGUAGCGUGCAGGAUGACGGCCCUAUGGGUUGUAAACUGCUUUUAUAAGGGAAUAAAGUGGGAGUCGUGACUCUUUUUGCAUGUACCUUAUGAAUAGGACCGCUAAUUCCGUGCCAGCAG
rnacentral:rRNA from 1 species